UCAGCAUUACACAGAGAAACUCCCACGUGGAAAAAAAAACGAUAAAAAAGACGUUCCUCUCCUCGCGCGGCUCUGGGAGUGGAAAUGGGGUCCUCCCAUCUGCUAACGCCAAGCCAAGCUGCUGCCCUCCGUUCAAUGCUCCAGUUCGCUUCCCCCUACACCGUGUGGUGGCUUUACCAUCUACAAGAGUCUCCAGAAGUGACACACUUCUUUUUUAGUUCUGGAAAACCAAGAAGCCAUCUGCAC
rnacentral:lncRNA from 1 species